GCGGAAGUGUCGGAAUUGGCAGACGAGCUAGAUUCAGGUUCUAGUGGCGGUUUUCGCCGUGAGGGUUCAAGUCCCUUCUUCCGCA
rnacentral:tRNA from 3 species